CUCCCCACACGAACCCCUCCUCUCCCUCAAAACUUUUAUAGUUUUAUUCUACAUUAAGAAUGACAUCUCCAUCUUAUGGCACACCAACCCUUUGCCCACUCCUCAAAGAAACUCCUUUGUCAGACCAUUCAUGCAAAACCUCAGAUUUGCAAAAGAAAAGGUCUAAUGCUCAAAAAGAUGCAAAUGGCCAUUAAGUUAAUACUACUAGCAGCAAAACUGACCAAAGACAAGACUCUUUUGAUCAUAAGGACAACAUGGAGUAUCUAAGUAUGAUAUAAAAUGCAAUUGAGACAACGCAGCCAUAAACAAACACAAAAUGCAAUUUUUUUAAGGGAAAAAAGUUACGAUAUUAAUUACAAAGGCACAGCAAAGUUAUGGAACAUAUUACUCAGCAUCCAGUAAUAGCUAUAACAGGAAAAGUAAUGAUAAAAACUACCAAACAGCUAUCCCAUUACCUUGAAACCAUUGCGGCCACAACCCCCGCCCACAGAUGCUUGGUGGACCGGUGGUGUUCAUGGCGCCAG
rnacentral:lncRNA from 1 species